CCGUUAUUCUACUCAAACCAGUGAAAACAGUGACCACUCUGAUGAGCAGAGAAACAACCCCCACAGCAUCACUAAUCCUCCCUCUGGAGGAAAGGAUUCUCAAAUCCAUGGCCCCAGGAAAUGAAAGUGCAACAAUAAAAAGUCAAGGGACCUGGAAAACAGACAUGCAGCCCCAGAUCUUGGAAGCUACAGCCCUGGAUCCCAAUUUGCAGAGACAGACUCAUCAGCAGAAGAAGGGUAACAUGCAGCUGCUUCUCCUGGAAAGAAGACAGAUAAACAGGAAGCAGAAGCGCAGAGGAGCAGCUGCUGUCCUUGCACAGAGCUGAGGAAGAGCGUGGGGGCUGAGGAAGAGCGUGGGGGCUGAAGACGCUCGCUGGAACUGGAAGGACACGGUUCAUGUGCGUUAGAGGUUUUCCCAACUGCUUCUUCAGUUCAGCAGCGUUUUAGGACUCCUGCUGUGCAUCGAGGCACUGCUCCACACCAAAGGUUAUUUGAACAGACAGAAACAUUAGAAAAAUGAAUUGUUUCUCCUUUCCCAUCAAUUACCCCGUUCAGGAGAGUUCCUCAAGCUAAAUUAUGGAUCUUCAAGAGUCCAUUCCACACUGCAGGGCUCCCCCACGUUCCUCUAUAUGCUGAUGACACUACUCUUCACAUGUCUGCGGCUUUUUUCUGCAUCAUCAGUGGUCAAAGCGUCUCUCCAAUCUGCAUCUGCCUUCAAACACAAGAACAUUUCUGUGGCCUUUUAACAAGAAAUUGGCGUUACUGUUUCAAAUCGGCGAGGAUCAGGGCCUCAUGCCCUCCAUGGGAGCCUCCAGUCCAACAUGUGCUGAUCCAUUUCAUUUGAAUCCACUGUUGUAAAAACAAUCACACAAAGACUGCUCUUCAGGUCCAUGCACAACAACACAGUUGCAGAGGACGCGCUCAUGACCCCGAGCAGAAGCUGAAAAAAACCUAACUGAGUUACCUGUACGAGCACCUGGAUCAGCUCAGAGCUGCAGCAAAAGUGAACAGAGACUAAAUGUUCCAACACACUGAGCUGAAAGAAGAUAAAAAGCAGUUUCCCCCAUGUGGGAAAAUGGUCUUGGUGCUAUGGCAAAGUGAAUGUUGACAAAGUUCCAAAUAGAAGUACAGCGCCAUGCACUAGCGUGCAUCAAUGCUCACUACAUGACACAAUGCAUUGUGGUCAAACCAUUUAGAACCAAAAAAAGUGUUUUUUUUUAAUAAACCAUCCACAUUUUCACCAUCAGAACACAGUGGAGUUAUGAAUAAACGUCAUGAAAUGUUUGUAUUGAUUUGAUUUUGACUUUGUGAAAUCGGUGACGUCAUAUCCGGCGUUUGGAAAAACAAACGAGAAGUAGUG
rnacentral:lncRNA from 1 species